rnacentral:rRNA from 1 species
ACGAACGCUGGCGGCAUGCCUAACACAUGCCAGUCGAACGAAGGCUUCGGCCUUAGUGGCGCACGGGUGCGUAACGCGUGGGAAUCUGCCCUUUGGUUCGGAAUAACAGCUGGAAACGGCUGCUAAUACCGGAUGAUGACGAAAGUCCAAAGAUUUAUCGCCAGAGGAUGAGCCCGCGUUGGAUUAGGUAGUUGGUGGGGUAAAGGCCUACCAAGCCGACGAUCCAUAGCUGGUCUGAGAGGAUGAUCAGCCACACUGGGACUGAGACACGGCCCAGACUCCUACGGGAGGCAGCAGUGGGGAAUAUUGGACAAUGGGCGCAAGCCUGAUCCAGCAAUGCCGCGUGAGUGAUGAAGGCCCUAGGGUUGUAAAGCUCUUUUACCCGGGAAGAUAAUGACUGUACCGGGAGAAUAAGCCCCGGCUAACUCCGUG